CCUACGGGGAGCAGCAGUGAGGAAUAUUGGUCAAUGGACGAGAGUCUGAACCAGCCAAGUAGCGUGAAGGAUGACUGCCCUAUGGGUUGUAAACUUCUUUUAUAUGGGAAUAAAAUGUUCCACGUGUGGGAUUUUGUAUGUACCAUAUGAAUAAGGAUCGGCUAACUCCGUGCCAGCAGCCGCGGUAAUACGGAGGAUCCGAGCGUUAUCCGGAUUUAGUGGGUUUAAAGGGAGCGUAGGUGGAUUGUUAAGUCAGUGGUGAAAGUUUGCGGCUCAACCGUAAAAUUGCAGUUGAAACUGGCAGUCUUGAGUACAGUAGAGGUAGGCGGAAUUCGUGGUGUAGCGGUGAAAUGCUUAGAUAUCAUGAAGAACUCCGAUUGCGAAGGCAGUUCACUGGACUGCAACUGACACCGAGGCUCGAAAGUGUGGGUAUCAAACAGGAUUAGAUACCCGGGUAGUC
rnacentral:rRNA from 1 species